AUAUUCUGUAGCAAGGUUAACCGUAUAGGGGAGCCGUAGGGAAACCGAGUCUUAACCGGGCGUUAAGUUGCAGGGUAUAGACCCGAAACCCGGUGAUCUAGCCAUGGGCAGGUUGAAGGUUGGGUAACACUAACUGGAGGACCGAACCGACUAAUGUUGAAAAAUUAGCGGAUGACCUGUGGCUGGGGGUGAAAGGCCAAUCAAACCGGGAGAUAGCUGGUUCUCCCCGAAAGCUAUUUAGGUAGCGCCUCGUGAAUUCAUCUCCGGGGGUAGAGCACUGUUUCGGCUAGGGGGCCAUCCCGGCUUACCAACCCGAUGCAAACUGCGAAUACCGGAGAAUGUUAUCACGGGAGACACACGGCGGGUGCUAACGUCCGUCGUGAAGAGGGAAACAACCCAGACCGCCAGCUAAGGUCCCAAAGUCAUGGUUAAGUGGGAAACGAUGUGGGAAGGCCCAGACAGCCAGGAUGUUGGCUUAGAAGCAGCCAUCAUUUAAAGAAAGCGUAAUAGCUCACUGGUCGAGUCGGCCUGCGCGGAAGAUGUAACGGGGCUAAACCAUGCACCGAAGCUGCGGCAGCGAACGUAUCACCCAAGACAACUUUACGGAGUUGACGAUUGACGGAGCGAAGCGACGUCAAAGCGUUCAUUAAAGUCGAGUUGGCUUAGGGAUACGUUCGUUGGGUAGGGGAGCGUUCUGUAAGCCUGUGAAGGUGUGUCGUGAGGCAUGCUGGAGGUAUCAGAAGUGCGAAUGCUGACAUAAGUAACGAUAAAGCGGGUGA
rnacentral:rRNA from 1 species